GCUGAUGUCAGAGUGCGAGCGAGAAGCGAUGCGAUAAUAUUGGGCGAGAACGAGCGAUAAACCACUGCAACCCUUUUCAUAUGCAAUCGCUCGAAAGAUGUCAGAGUGAGAGCGAAGCGAGUUGCGAGUUCAAGCGAGAAAGCGAGAGCAAAGCGAGAGAGCAGUUUGCAACCUGCUUUAUCGCUUCAACUCUCUCAGAGCGUACGAUUGUUUUCUUGCAUUCUGUGCUUUAAUUACCGUUUAUUUUCAAAGCACGCGUGUUUGAAAGCUGAGAUGGUAAGUUUGUAACUCUAUUUUUAGUUUUAUGUACAGUUUACUCUAAAAUCAUGGGUUUUUUUUUUGCAUUUAAUGUCAUUUGUGAGAGAACACCAGAACGAAAUGGACAUCGAAAAUUUAAUUAGUGAAGUAUUUUUACGCCCAGUGCUAUGGGACCAAAAAAACAAAAACUAUCACAACAGAAUUUUGGUGGAAAAAAAUUGGACAGAAAUUGAAAACAUGUUAGAAACAUCAAAAGACGGCUUAAAAAAAAAAUGGAAGAACCUCCGGGACCAAUUCCGCAACGAAUGGAAAAAAAUUCCUAUUUCAAAAUCUGGCGACUCUGGUGUUUCAGAGGAGGCUUACAGCAACUAUACUUCUUGGCCUCAUUUUAAAAGUCUACUCUUUUUAAAGGACCAAAUAAAACCCCGUAAAUCGGUUGGCAAUUUUGAAGCAUCACAAUUAAGCUUUGAGCCAUCUUGUUCAGGAUUUGCUUCUGAAUUGUCUCAAGAUGAGAUCAUGUCUGAAGAGAUUCACGAGCUAUGUGAAUAUGAAACACCAAAAAAAGCAAAAAAAAAUUAAUGCGUCAGAGGAAUUAGUAGCUAUUGAGCAACAAAAACUAAUGUUGCUUGAAAAGAAAAUUAAUAAAAACAAAGAGAAAGACGACGACGAGUCCUUUUUCGAUAGUUUAAUACCAUAUAUGCGGAAAAUGGAUCCGAUGAAAAAGUUACUAUGCAGAAUGGAAAUACAAAAGACUAUUUUUAAUUUUUCUUUCGACAAUAGUACUGAUGAUCUUACUAAAUCGUAAUAUAAUUUAAUACUUUAAAUACUAUAAUACACACAUAAUUAAUAUAAUUGAAAUAUAUUACAAACUUACCUCAA